rnacentral:rRNA from 1 species
UGGGGAAUUUUGGACAAUGGGCGAAAGCCUGAUCCAGCAAUGCCGCGUGUGNGAAGAAGGCCUUCGGGUUGUAAAGCACUUUUGUCCGGAAAGAAAUCCUUGGCUCUAAUACAGUCGGGGGAUGACGGUACCGGAAGAAUAAGCACCGGCUAACUACGUGCCAGCAGCCGCGGUAAUACGUAGGGUGCAAGCGUUAAUCGGAAUUACUGGGCGUAAAGCGUGCGCAGGCGGUUUGCUAAGACCGAUGUGAAAUCCCCGGGCUCAACCUGGGAACUGCAUUGGUGACUGGCAGGCUAGAGUAUGGCAGAGGGGGGUAGAAUUCCACGUGUAGCAGUGAAAUGCGUAGAGAUGUGGAGGAAUACCGAUGGCGAAGGCAGCCCCCUGGGCCAAUACUGACGCUCAUGCACGAAAGCGUGGGGAGCAAACAGGAUUAGAUACCCUGGUAGUCCACGCCCUAAACGAUGUCAACUAGUUGUUGGGGACUUCAUUUCCUUAGUAACGUAGCUAACGCGUGAAGUUGACCGCCUGGGGAGUACGGUCGCAAGAUUAAAACUCAAAGGAAUUGACGGGGUCAUAGCUGUUUCCU